AUUCCAUCUUAGAAAAGAAAAAACAAGACAAACAAUACAGAGAAGAUUAGUAUGGCCCCUGUACAAGGAUGACAUACAAAUUCAUGAAAUCUUCCAUAUUUUU